UGCUGUGUUAGCUAAGCCGGAAAGUGCAAUUGCCUUAUAAGCAGUCGGUCACUGGUUCGAAUCCAGUAUGGCGC
rnacentral:tRNA from 1 species